rnacentral:rRNA from 1 species
AAUAUUGCGCAAUGGAGGGAACUGUGACGCAGCGACGCCGCGUGAGCGAUCAAGGUCUGCGGAUCGAAAAGCUCUGUGCUUGGGGAAGAAGGUCUUCGGACUUGACGGUAUCUAAAGAGGAAGCAUCGGCUAACUCCGUGCCUGCAGCCGCAGUAAUACGUAGGGGGCAAGCGGUGUCCGGAAUUAUUGGGCGUAAAGGGUGCUGAGUCGGCCUUUUAAGUCAGAUGUGAAAGCCCACGGCUUAACCGUGGGACUGCAUUUGAAACUGGAGGGGUUGAGUAUCGGAGAGGGUAGUGGAGUACCCAGUGUAGCGGUGGAAUGCGUAGAUAUUGGGAGGAACACCAGUGGCGAAGGCGACUACCUGGACGAAAACUGACGCUGAGGAACGAAAGCUAGGUGAGCAAACA